CCCAACCUUAGAUCCCAAAUGCUGUUAGACUAUAACUCCCAUCAUCCCUGGCCAUAAUGGCACCCACACCAUUCCCAGGGCUCCAUGGGAAAAUGAAAGAACAAGUCCCUCUAACAGUCAUGCAGUGGAAGGUUCCCUUACAGCGGGGAGUGAAGAGGAAGGAUGGAGACUUUUCUCCUGGCCCUUGCUGGUCCUGGUAAACAUCAGAGGACAACAUCCCACAAGAACCAUGUGCAUAUUGGCAUUACUGCCACUGCUGCCACUGCCACUUUUAGGAAUGUUGCUGACUUGGAAGAAUCAGCAGGAAUCUCGUGACUUGGUUGUUUAUGGCACCAACCAUCUCUCAUCCCCUGCCAAGUAUAAAGGGCUUCACUUCAACUGGCUGGAUCUCAUAUCCAAGUUCCUCUCCUCAACCCACACAGAGGAGCUGAGCCUUCAUGGGCUUUUGAAAACACGGAAGCGUCUUGAGGAGGAAGGACUGCUUUCAGAAGCAAUGGGAAAAUGUUUGGUGCAUGUCAUGAAGGUCCUGCCACAUGAACCUAACAGCUUGCAGAAGAAUGCCAGAUUGACCCUUCAUUGUGACGGGCACUUGUUGGAGUUUAUGUCUGGAAAAGGGGGAAAUGAAGUGGCCAUGUACGAUUAUGAUGGAAAGCUCCACUACCAAACCGGUAUAACGACUUGGCAAGUCUACCUUAUAAGGUUCUUCAGAAGAAAUCCAUAGUUGUUUGCUCCAGUCAUGAUGGUACACUUGUGUGUGCAUAAGCCUUGCUGGAACAAUGUGUGGAUUUGUCCAUCUCCAACAGCUUCUGCCAAGCUUGAGAUCUGGAGUCUAUGUCAGCUGUGUGUGUAUGUCUGAUUUCCUUUUCUUUGUGGGAUUCUGUGCAUAUCUACUGGACUGGAUAAAAGUAUAUCUCCCUCCUCUGA